UCUAAUAUAGGCCUCAAUUAGGUC
rnacentral:siRNA from 1 species